UGGGGCUGAGGCUGAUGAUGAUAGGAUUGAACUGCUCCUCUCUCAAGUUGAGGGCAAGGAUAUCACUGAGCUGAUUGCUGCUGGCAGAGAAAAGUUGGCUUUAGUACCUGCCGGUGGUGGUGGUGUUGCAGUUGCUGCACCUACAGGCGCUGCUGCUGCUGCACCUGCUGCUGAGGAGAAGAAGGAAGAAAAGAAAGUGGAAGAGAAAGAGGAGUCAGAUGAUGUAUGAAUACC
rnacentral:lncRNA from 1 species